rnacentral:rRNA from 1 species
AAGACCCUCCCCACCCCGUAGACGAACCCUAGCUCCAUUCCCCUCGCUCUCUCGCCCACCAUCGUCGAUUUGGACGCGCCCGAGUACCCAACCGCCAUGGUCGUCGUCUUAGCCACGGCCACCGCACUCCCCGCCGGCUUGGAGCUUGUGCAGCAGCUCCAUCGCGGUCGUCUGCAUCUUCUACUCCGCCGUAUCGAGGCCGGGGGCCAUCACCGGCGACGCUCGCGCCUUCUUCCUCCGCCAUGGCCGUCCGACGCCGUCGUUCGAUCCGCACCAUCCCGGCAACCUCCGGCCUCCCCGACCUCGCCAUUGAGCUCGCAACCCCGAGACUGCCGGCGACCUUCAGUUCGACUACGGUGUUGACGACCCCUCUUUCUUGUCAGGGCAACCAGACAAUGGAGCUCCGGAGCCAGACACCACCGCUGACGACGACUCCUACUACAUUGGAGGAGCCUACUACUACGAGUAGGCUGCUGACUACGACCAGUACUAGUUUAGGAGGAUCCCAGGCAGGAGGCCUGUGCCUCUUUCGAUCUGUAUCCUAGUUUGUGCUAGCCUUCUUAAGGCAAACUUGUUUAACUUAUGUCUGUAUUCAGAUAUUGUUGCUUUCGCUGACUCGUCUAUGAUCGAGCUCUUGUAUUCGAACCUUCGAGGCCCCUGGAUUGUAAUAUGAGGCUUGUAUGACUUAUUUUAUUUAUAGAGUUGUGUUGUGAUAUCUUCCCAU